GGUGGCAGUUUAUGUGCAGUUUUCUCGGAUCCACCUUUUCCUGGCCAUGUUCUUCACAACCACAAAUCGCGUUUCUAGAAGGGGAGGUUAGAGUACGGUUUUCUUUUUCCUUCAAUUUCUUCCAGGUCAUCACUUAUCAAUGGUCCUCGCCAUUCUUUAUCACCCUCUCUUCAUCCCUUUUUCGGCUUAGAGAAGAAACUAGGUCAUUAAAGAAGACGUGACCACCGCACCUGCACCCCUUUCUGGCAAAUCUUGGUGGUUUUAUUCACGAAUCCAACCGUUUGAGUUAGCCAUCCUCCCCCUAAUCUCUAAUCUAAUGGUUUAUGACAGAUGGUUGGAGGUUUGCAGAUUUGCAGUUUUGGUGCUUAUCGAUUUUGCAGUUUAGGCUACCAGAAACUAAUUGGCUUUUCUGGCGUUUAAGGCUAAUGGCAAAUUCUGUUUUUUAUGCUAAUCACUUCUAUAACAAAGGUGCACGUCUAGCAAGAUUAAUACCGAUGACAAAGGCGACACAAUAUUCGGCUCUCACAAACUUGUGACAUGUAGAUGUAGUAAACGGGAAAUGCAAGAGUUUACCGAAGUCACAAAUUCGAGGAUGAUGUGGUUAAAAUUUCCUUCACUUUUCAUAUGCUUAUUAGUCACAGAACGACCCGGUCUGACCCAUUACUCCACCCUGACCUGACACGCUCGUUUUGAAACAAAAUGAAGCCUUCCCAAGGACAGGAUACCAAUUUUUCAUUGUGAUCUACAUAGCUCAUGGUUUUAAAUAUGUUUGAUACAAGAUAUAAGCUUUUGUUACCAGCCCAGGAGGAUUAUGCAGAAGCCCAAUCGAUUUAAGAAGAGUAGAAUACGUUUGAAUUUCAUGAAGCAUUCCGUGCAUGCAUUUUGGCUACCAUUUCUCUUUGCUUGAGAAUCACACAAUCCCACAUUUCAGUACUUUAGUCAAUAACACAUUUUAUCGCUUUGUAGUUGUUUUUCCGUUAGCAUUCAGGUUUUUUUUAUAUGGCACGUUGUCUAAUUUUGUUUAUAAUUCAAAGAAAGUUUAAACA